rnacentral:lncRNA from 1 species
GGGUGUAGAGGCGUGCAUGGCAGCGGCGCUAGAGGCUCGUUGUUGCUGCUAGGGUUUCUGGUCGUGUUGGGCUGCGUUGGGCCGUGAUAGUGUCUGGGCUAGAUGUAGUUGGGCUAGGUUGGGCUUGGGGUAGUGUCUGGGCUGUUUUAUUUGUAAAUAGACUUUUAAUAUUUUUUGUUUUUUAUUUUUAUUUAUAAAAUUGGGCCGGGCAAAUUAGGUAUUACACAAAAAAAGGAAGAAAUUCCUACACGAUAGUAUAUAUUAUUUUUGGGAGGAUCCAUUUUUGUUUAAACAGUGUGCAGAUAAUAUAAUCCAAAAGUGUGUAGCUGAAAGUUAGAUUGCUGAGAUCUUAUAUCAUUUCCAUUCAUCUCCAAGUGGGGGACACUUUGGUGGUUCACGUACUGC